UGUUCCGAUCUCCCUAUGUGGAUCUGUCUGAGUUCAGUUUGUCAUGCUGUCCCCGUGGCACAAUAGUAUUUCAUUUGUAAAGCGCAUAUCCCAUUCGCAAUGCGUAUCCGGUAGAAAACGAACCAAACCAAAUUCAACGACAAAACAUCAAAAAGUAGGAUCAUUUCAAUACAAUAAACCAUUACCUGCUAAUAAAAAAUAGAACAGAUUAAGCAAUCAAAGAUUAAAAGCUAGCUUGAAAGUGUAGGUCUUUAAAUGUGUUUUAAACAAGGAAAUGGAAGCUGCCUCCUUGACAUGCAGGUAGAGCGUCCCAGACCUCAGGAGCCACAUGUGAGAAGGCCUUAUCACCCGUACUGCACAGGAAGCCAAUGGAGGCUUUGUGAGCGCAUCCUGGCAGCUGCGUUCUGGAUCAUCUGGAGUUGACAGGAGCCUUAAUGUCAGCAGUGCCGAGAUGUUACAAGGGCAUGCACACACUUCUCAGCAUCCACAGUGAACAAGAAAGACCUGAUACAAGGUGGCAAAAUUACACUUUAUGUUGCGAAUGUGUGCUUCAAAUAAGAGGCUAGAGUCAAAAAUUACACACAGGUUUCUGGCAGUGGGGGAAGCUGUGAUGGAGUCAUCAUCCAGAGGAAGGGAGAAUGUGCUCAUUUUGCUCUGUGUACUCUUAGAGCAAAUAAACACAAGCUCUGUUUUGCUUUUGGAAGUUCAA